rnacentral:lncRNA from 13 species
GGAGUCAGCUUGGUCGGACCAGCGUUGGACAGACCUCAGCGUGGGAGCCUCUUGUUUUAGUUUCUGUCUGUAGGCANNNNNNNNNNUUUCUCUUGGCUGUAUUAGUAGAGGUUUCUCUUGGCUGUAGGGUUCUCUUGGCUGUAAUAGUAGAGGGUUCUCUUGGAUGUAGGGUUCUCUUGGCUGUAGGGUUCUCUUGGCUGUAGGGAUUAUGGAUUCUAGGGAUUGUAGGGAUUGGAUUAUGAUGAAUGGCCGGA